UACGGGGGGGGCAAGCGUUGUUCGGAAUUACUGGGCGUAAAGGGCUCGUAGGCGGCCAACUAAGUCGGAUGUGAAAUCCCCAGGCUUAACCUGGGAACUGCAUCCGAUACUGGAUGGCUUGAAUCCGGGAGAGGGAUGCAGAAUUCCAGGUGUAGCGGUGAAAUGCGUAGAUAUCUGGAGGAAUACCGGUGGCGAAGGCGGCAUCCUGGACCGGCAUUGACGCUGAGUGAGCUAAAGCCAGGGGAGCAAACGGG
rnacentral:rRNA from 1 species